rnacentral:lncRNA from 1 species
CAGCACAAACGGACUCUUCAGAGGCGUCUUCAGAGGAGUUUGUCAGGUGGGAGAAAGAAAGGUAUGAUGUGGUUUGGUCUGGCAGAGCUUGGAGGUCUGGCCAGAGCUUGGGAUAUGAGUGGAAGCAGGGAGACCUGGAGCAGACUGGUCACCUCUUCAAGGCCCCACCACCCAGAAGCAAGAGCUAACACAGAUGAGAUGACGGCUCAACUCCAGGCAUCCAGGGGGAGCUUGUGCCCACUUGGCAAACAGAACUCAAGAAUCCAGCUGUGUGAGGGGUCCUGCCACACCCAGGCAUCGCCCUCCUUACCCCAAAUUGAGUACCAGAAUUAAGAAGAAGCACAGGCCAUGGAAUGAUACAGCAGACUCAAUAUAAAUAAAAUAUUCAUAUAAAAAUAGUCUCUUACAAAAUAUUCUCUCUUACCCAGUGGCUUACUUUCUGAAAGAUGGAAACUGCUAGGAAUUUAUUAUUAUUUUUCCUCUCUAUAUAUUCCAGACUGGAUAUUUCUAAUGGUGACAUUUGAACUUGGUGGGGAUAGGGGGGCAAAAGAAUGGGAAACAUACUCUGGAAAAAACAUCUCCAAAUCUAGACCAGCUUAAAUUUCUGGAUAAGUAGCAGCAAACAGCAAAAAAAAAAAAAAAUGUGUGUGUAUAUAGAUCUAUAUAUGUAUAAAGGAUGCCUGCUCUUGUACUUAAACAUCUAGUGCUGCGGGGGGCGGGUACUUGCAAAAUCGACUAGUAGAAAUGUCUGCAUAAAGAAUAGUUAUGUACAGUUUUACACGGCUCCUCAUCCUAGCAACACAAUCAUCCCGCUAGGAAAGCAAGCAGUCCACUUUGAUUGCAGAAAACGGAUCCCGACGAGGUGGAAGAAUUCUUUUUAAUUAAAUAAAUUAAUAUUAUUUUUAUCAGAAUAAACUGUUAAAUAUUGCUACGGUGAGGCCCAGGGUUCCAGAGUUCCUGCUGCAAAAGGCUUCACUCCAGCGGAAGAGGGACCUGGGCUGUGUCUGGGGGAGGGUGGAGCAGCAUUGGGUGUGGAACAGAAUAGCUGAGGGCUCUGAGAGAUUUUUUUUCCCGCAGAUACCUGCAGGAAACCCAGGAAAAGUACCCUCCUCAGCAGAAAAGACAAGCUCAGAAUUUCUGUGGUUCCCUGCGAAGAUCCAGGCAGUGACCUGCCAGAAAGCCCGCAGCUUGGAAACGGUCCGGUCCUCCCAGCAAUUUAACUAACAGCAGGA